AUUGAACGCUGGCGGCAGGCCUAACACAUGCAAGUCGAGCGAGCGGCGGACGGGUGAGUAAUGUAUGGGGACUGCCCGAUAGAGGGGGGUAACUACUGGAAACGGUAGCUAAUACCGCAUACUAUCGGAUAACCCAGUUGGGAUUAGCUAGUGGGUGAGGUAAUGGCUAACCUGGGCGACGAGCCCUAGCUGGUCUGAGAGGAUGAUCAGCCACACUGGGACGGAGACACGGCCCAGCGCCCUACGGAGGCAGCAGUGGGGAAUAUUGGACAUGGGGCGCAAGCCUGAUGCAGCCAUGCCGCGUGUAUGAAGAAGGCCCUAGGGUUGUAAAGUACUUUCAGUGGGGAGGCGUUACCGAAAGAAGAAGCACCGGCUAACUCCGUGCCAGCCGCCGCGGUAAUAC
rnacentral:rRNA from 1 species